rnacentral:rRNA from 1 species
CAAUGAAAUUUAAAUAGCCGCAUAUUGUGCUAAGGUAGCAUAAUCAUUCGUCUUUUAAUUUAAGACUAGAACAAAAGAUCUAAUAUUUUAUUAAUUUUCUUUAAUUAAAAUUUUUAAUUUUUCUUAAAUGUAAAAAGACAUUUUUUUUUAAAAAAAACGACAAGACCCUAUUGAACUUAACUUUAGUUAAACUGGGGAAGUCAUAUAACUAUUAUUUUAUAUAAAAUAAUUCAAUAAAAAUCCAUAUAUUUGAUUAACUCAGUUACCAUAGGGAUAACAGCGCAAUCAUUUUCUAAAGUUCUUAUUUAAAAAAUAUUUUACGACCYCGAUGUUGAAUUAAUAACCUAUUAUAAGCAARAUUAUYUUAAGGAAGUCUGUUCGACUUUUAAAAAAUUACAUGAUUUGAGUUCAGACCGGUAUAARCCAGGUCGGCUUCUAUUUUUUAAAAUAAAAAUUUUUACAGUACGAAAGGACCUAAAAAAAUAAUUUAAUUUUCAUAUUGGCAGAAAAAUGCAUUAGAAUUAGAAUCUAAUUAAACUUU